rnacentral:lncRNA from 1 species
UGUUUUUUUUAGCUGAGCUCCCAAUGUUCAGAAUACUUAUCUUUUAAGAAUUUUUUUCCUACCCCUCUUCUUUCUUAUAUUACAGGCUUUCAAGGGGGGCUGCAAAGCUCCUCAUGCUAUGAUAUCUUCUUGUGGAACAAUCCCAGGAAAUCCAUAUCCCAAAGGAAGACCUAGCCGCAUAAAUGGAAUUUUCCCAGGAACUCCUUUGAAAAAAGAUGGUGAAGAAUGUACUAACGAAGGCAAAGGAAUAGCUGCACGAAUUCUUGGGCCAUCCAAACCACCUCCUUCAACAUAUAAUCCACAUAAACCUGUUCCUUAUCCGAUACCUCCAUGCCGACCACAUGCAACUAUUGCACCAAGUGCUUAUAACAAUGCAGGUCUGGUACCAUUAGCGAAUGUCAUAGCUCCACCUCCACCU